AAGAUAUUAGUAAAAACAUUACAUAACUUUGUCAAAGUUAAAUUAUUGGUUAAACUCCUAUAUAUCUUC
ensembl:Mt_tRNA